UAUUGGGCGUAAGGGCUCGCAGGCGGUUUCUUAAGUCUGAUGUGAAAGCCCCCGGCUCAACCGGGGAGGGUCAUUGGAAACUGGGAAACUUGAGUGCAGAAGAGGAGAGUGGAAUUCCACGUGUAGCGGUGAAAUGCGUAGAGAUGUGGAGGAACACCAGUGGCGAAGGCGACUCUCUGGUCUGUAACUGACGCUGAGGAGCGAAAGCGUGGGGAGCGAACAGGAUUAGAUACCCUGGUAGUCCACGCCGUAAACGAUGAGUGCUAAGUGUUAGGGGGUUUCCGCCCCUUAGUGCUGCAGCUAACGCAUUAAGCACUCCGCCUGGGGAGUACGGUCGCAAGACUGAAACUCAAAGGAAUUGACGGGGGCCCGCACAAGCGGUGGAGCAUGUGGUUUAAUUCGAAGCAACGCGAAGAACCUUACCAGGUCUUGACAUCCUCUGACAACCCUAGAGAUAGGGCUUUCCCUUCGGGGACAGAGUGACAGGUGGUGCAUGGUUGUCGUCAGCUCGUGUCGUGAGAUGUUGGGUUAAGUCCCGCAACGAGCGCAACCCUUGAUCUUAGUUGCCAGCAUUCAGUUGGGCACUCUAAGGUGACUGCCGGUGACAAACCGGAGGAAGGUGGGGAUGACGUCAAAUCAUCAUGCCCCUUAUG
rnacentral:rRNA from 1 species